CCGAGUGGCGGACGGGUGAGUAAUGUCUGGGAAACUGCCUGAUGGAGGGGGAUAACUACUGGAAACGGUGGCUAAUACCGCAUAACGUCGCAAGACCAAAGAGGGGGACCUUCGGGCCUCUUGCCAUCAGAUGUGCCCAGAUGGGAUUAGCUUGUUGGUGAGGUAACGGCUCACCAAGGCGACGAUCCCUAGCUGGUCUGAGAGGAUGACCAGCCACACUGGAACUGAGACACGGUCCAGACUCCUACGGGAGGCAGCAGUGGGGAAUAUUGCACAAUGGGCGCAAGCCUGAUGCAGCCAUGCCGCGUGUAUGAAGAAGGCCUUCGGGUUGUAAAGUACUUUCAGCGGGGAGGAAGGUGUUGUGGUUAAUAACCGCAGCAAUUGACGUUACCCGCAGAAGAAGCACCGGCUAACUCCGUGCCAGCAGCCGCGGUAAUACGGAGGGUGCAAGCGUUAAUCGGAAUUACUGGGCGUAAAGCGCACGCAGGCGGUCUGUCAAGUCGGAUGUGAAAUCCCCGGGCUCAACCUGGGAACUGCAUUCGAAACUGGCAGGCUUGAGUCUUGUAGAGGGGGGUAGAAUUCCAGGUGUAGCGGUGAAAUGCGUAGAGAUCUGGAGGAAUACCGGUGGCGAAGGCGGCCCCCUGGACAAAGACUGACGCUCAGGUGCGAAAGCGUGGGGAGCAAACAGGAUUAGAUACCCUGGUAGUCCACGCCGUAAACGAUGUCUACUUGGAGGUUGUGCCCUUGAGGCGUGGCUUCCGGAGCUAACGCGUUAAGUAGACCGCCUGGGGAGUACGGCCGCAAGGUUAAAACUCAAAUGAAUUGACGGGGGCCCGCACAAGCGGUGGAGCAUGUGGUUUAAUUCGAUGCAACGCGAAGAACCUUACCUGGUCUUGACAUCCACAGAAGAAUCCAGAGAUGGAUUUGUGCCUUCGGGAACUGUGAGACAGGUGCUGCAUGGCUGUCGUCAGCUCGUGUUGUGAAAUGUUGGGUUAAGUCCCGCAACGAGCGCAACCCUUAUCCUUUGUUGCCAGCGGUCCGGCCGGGAACUCAAAGGAGACUGCCAGUGAUAAACUGGAGGAAGGUGGGGAUGACGUCAAGUCAUCAUGGCCCUUACGACCAGGGCUACACACGUGCUACAAUGGCGCAUACAAAGAGAAGCGACCUCGCGAGAGCAAGCGGACCUCAUAAAGUGCGUCGUAGUCCGGAUUGGAGUCUGCAACUCGACUCCAUGAAGUCGGAAUCGCUAGUAAUCGUGGAUCAGAAUGCCACGGUGAAUACGUUCCCGGGCCUUGUACACACCGCCCGUCACACCAUGGGAGUGGGUUGCAAAAGAAGUAGGUAGCUUAACCUUCGGGAGGGCGCUUACCACUUUGUGAUUCAUGACUGGGGUGAAGUCGUAACAAGGUAACCGUAGGGGAACCUGCGGUUG
rnacentral:rRNA from 1 species